rnacentral:rRNA from 1 species
GAUGAACGCUGGCGGCGUGCCUAAUACAUGCAAGUCGAGCGAACAGACGAGGAGCUUGCUCCUUUGAUGUUAGCGGCGGACGGGUGAGUAACACGUAGGUAACCUACCUAUAAGACUGGGAUAACUUCGGGAAACCGGAGCUAAUACCGGAUAAUAUUUCGAACCGCAUGGUUCGAUAGUGAAAGACGGCUUUGCUAUCACUUAUAGAUGGACCUGCGCCGCAUUAGCUAGUUGGUAAGGUAACGGCUUACCAAGGCAACGAUACGUAGCCGACCUGAGAGGGUGAUCGGCCACACUGGAACUGAGACACGGUCCAGACUCCUACGGGAGGCAGCAGUAGGGAAUCUUCCGCAAUGGGCGAAAGCCUGACGGAGCAACGCCGCGUGAGUGAUGAAGGUCUUCGGAUCGUAAAACUCUGUUAUUAGGGAAGAACAAACGUGUAAGUAACUGUGCACGUCUUGACGGUACCUAAUCAGAAAGCCACGGCUAACUACGUG